AGUUAUUACCUAAAGAAGGAAUUAUGUUUUGAAAGCAUAUUAGAAGAGGUUAAAUCCCUCUAUUAACUU
rnacentral:tRNA from 1 species